rnacentral:rRNA from 1 species
UGGGGAAUCUUGGACAAUGGGCGCAAGCCUGAUCCAGCCAUGUCGCGUGAGUGAAGAAGGCCUUCGGGUUGUAAAGCUCUUUUACCAGGGACGAUAAUGACGGUACCUGGAGAAUAAGCCCCGGCAAACUUCGUGCCAGCAGCCGCGGUAAUACGAAGGGGGCUAGCGUUGUUCGGAAUUACUGGGCGUAAAGCGCACGUAGGCGGAUUGUUAAGUCAGAGGUGAAAUCCCGGAGCUCAACCUCGGAACUGCCUUUGAUACUGGCAAUCUAGAGUCCGGAAGAGGUUAGUGGAAUUCCCAGUGUAGAGGUGAAAUUCGUAGAUAUUGGGAAGAACACCAGUGGCGAAGGCGGCUAACUGGUCCGGUACUGACGCUGAGGUGCGAAAGCGUGGGGAGCAAACAGGAUUAGAUACCCCAGUAGUCCCUGAGCGGGCUGGCAAGGCGCAU